rnacentral:rRNA from 1 species
AGAGUUUGAUCAUGGCUCAGGACGAACGCUGGCGGCGUGCCUAACACAUGCAAGUCGAGCGAUUCACUUCGGUGAAGAGCGGCGGACGGGUGAGUAACGCGUGGGUAACCUGCCUCAUACACAUGGAUAACAUACCGAAAGGUAUGCUAAUACAAGAUGAUAUAAGAGAUUCGCAUGGAUUUCUUACCAAAGCUCCGGCGGUAUGAGAUGGACCCGCGUCUGAUUAGCUAGUUGGUAAGGUAACGGCUUACCAAGGCGACGAUCAGUAGCCGACCUGAGAGGGUGAUCGGCCACAUUGGAACUGAGACACGGUCCAAACUCCUACGGGAGGCAGCAGUGGGGAAUAUUGCACAAUGGGCGAAAGCCUGAUGCAGCAACGCCGCGUGAGCGAUGAAGGCCUUCGGGUCGUAAAGCUCUGUCCUCAAGGAAGAUAAUGACGGUACUUGAGGAGGAAGCCCCGGCUAACUACGUGCCAGCAGCCGCGGUAAUACGUAGGGGGCUAGCGUUAUCCGGAUUUACUGGGCGUAAAGGGUGCGUAGGUGGUUUCUUAAGUCAGGAGUGAAAGGCUACGGCUCAACCGUAGUAAGCUCUUGAAACUGGGAAACUUGAGUGCAGGAGAGGAAAGUGGAAUUCCUAGUGUAGCGGUGAAAUGCGUAGAUAUUAGGAGGAACACCAGUAGCGAAGGCGGCUUUCUGGACUGUAACUGACACUGAGGCACGAAAGCGUGGGGAGCAAACAGGAUUAGAUACCCUGGUAGUCCGCGCCGUAAACGAUGAGUACUAGGUGUCGGGGGUUACCCCCCUCGGUGCCGCAGCUAACGCAUUAAGUACUCCGCCUGGGGAGUACGCUCGCAAGAGUGAAACUCAAAGGAAUUGACGG